GUCCGAUGUUUAUUUCUGUAGCUAAUGUUUGCAUACUGUUCUACUGCGGUAUUUAAACUGUAUGUAUAUACAGAGUUGCGAAACAUUGCAACUAUAUACUUUGC